UACGUAGGUGGCAAGCGUUGUCCGGAUUUAUUGGGUUUAAAGGGUGCGUAGGCGGCUUGAUAAGUCAGUGGUGAAAUCCCAUCGCUCAACGAUGGACCUGCCUUUGAUACUGUUGGUCUUGAAUUAGGGAGAGAUUCGUGGAAUUCCGAGUGUAGCAGUGAAAUGUGUAGAUAUUCGGAAGAACACCAGUGGCGAAGGCAGCGAAUUGGCCCUAUAUUGACGCUCAGGCACGAAAGCAUGGGGAUCAAACAGG
rnacentral:rRNA from 1 species